rnacentral:rRNA from 1 species
GACGAACGCUGGCGGCGUGCUUAACACAUGCAAGUCGAACGGAAAGGCCCUGCUUUUGUGGGGUGCUCGAGUGGCGAACGGGUGAGUAACACGUGAGUAUCCUGCCCUUGACUUUGGGAUAACUUCAGGAAACUGGGGCUAAUACCGGAUAGGAGCUCCUGCUGCAUGGUGGGGGUUGGAAAGUUUAGGCGGUUGGGGAUGGACUCGCGGCUUAUCAGCUUGUGGGUGGGGUAGUUGCUUACCAAGGCUUUGACGGAUAGCCGGCCUGGGAGGGUGAACGGGGACAUGAGUACUACGGGACGGCGCAGACGGGAACAGGGGGCAACGGGCGAAAAUCUUACCCAGUGGGGGGGAGCCUGUUACGAAGGCGCCCCGUGCGUGAUGACGGCUUACGGGUUGUGAACCGCUGUCGCCUGUGACGAAGCGUGAGUGACGGUAAUGAGUAAAGAAGCACCGGCUAACUACGUG